CACACUGUAAACGAUGAGUGCUAGGUGUAGGAGGUAUCGACCCCUUCUGUGCCGCAGUAAACACAAUAAGCACUCCGCCUGGGGAGUACGGUCGCAAGAUUAAAACUCAAAGGAAUUGACGGGGGCCCGCACAAGCAGCGGAGCAUGUGGUUUAAUUCGACGCAACGCGAAGAACCUUACCAGGUCUUGACAUCCAUUUAAAACUGUUGAAAGAUAGUGUCCCUUCGGGGGAAAUGAGACAGGUGG
rnacentral:rRNA from 1 species